GCCACUAUGUUUGUUGUUGCUGUGUAGCUGCAAUGAGGGCUGGUGCUGAUGCCCUUCUGUGUAUUUGGAACACAAUAAAGUGUCGGUAGCUGCACUCCAUUGGGGCCGGUCUCUUCAGAACCAUAUCAGUGUCAAAAUCUGCACAACCACUGAGAGGCCAAAAUGGUGGUGAAGUCCUGGAGUUGGACAGCAGUGAUUGUCACAUCAUAAUUUGAAAGAAAGAGAAAUAACUAGAUUUCUACUCAGUAGUACCAAAACAUCGUUACUGGACUGAAUCAAGCUGAUUGACAGCUGACUUUUCUAUUGGAACAUCAACUAUACGCAAUUCCUGAUUGAUUUCAUCACUUUGGAAUGGAAAUGCCAAUCCUGCGAAUAAAAACAAUUGCAAAUCAGGAUUACCAGAUUUGUGUGCAGCAGUCCUCUCCUUCAGCAGAGAGUGGAUCUCCCGGUUCAUCCAUGGCACCCUGUUUGGGAACACCUGUAUUGUCCACUUUGGUACACAGUCCUCCACACACUUGCUGAUAAAGUCUGUGAUGGUGGUGGCAUACUCAUCAAGGCUGGCAGCUGAGUCUUUGAACAUGGUCCAGUCCACUGUCUCAAAGCAGUCACAUAGAAGUUCAUCUGCGUCCUCAGACCAGCAUUACACGAUUCUCUGUACCGGAUCCUCCCGUUUCAGUUUCUGUUUGUAUGCAGUGAGAAGGAGCACAGCCUGGUGGUCUGAUUUCCCAAAGUGAGGACAAGGGGAACAGUAACAAUACUGUUAUUGUUUUUAACUGUACUACUUCAAUGCGCCCUGUAUUAACUCAAUGUAACUGCACUGUGUAAUGAAUUGACCUGUACAAUUGGUAUGCAAGAGAAGUUUCUCACUGUAUCUCGGUACAAGUGACAAUAACAAACCAAUACCAGUACAAGAAGAUCUCACAGAAGUUUUAUGUAGUUCAUGGAAUUACCUCGGUCCCUCAGUUAUACUGAUGCUUUGUCUAUGCUCCAUUGCCUGAUAAGCUAAGAGACUGGCACACUUUUAUUUAUUAUGUAUGGAUCUGGAAUUAUUAGACUUAAUAACUUCAGAAAUAAAUUAUUAAGAUGCACUAUAGAACGA